CAGGGAUGCCCCAAGAGUUACAUACCUUCCCUGUUAGUCACACACUCUUUGGAGAAUAACACCUUGAAAAAGGCAAGGCCUCUCCUUCCCUCAUUUCAAAGAGGCAGAGGGGGACAUAAAGGUCAUUGUCCUGAGCUCCAGAAGAUCGAGCAGAAGUGACCAACAGAAAGAGGGCCUUUCACAGGCUCCUUAAUGAAAACUGAAGCCCACUGGAAAAGUGAAGAGAAUCUCUGCAAUAAAAGCACACCAGACCAUCUUAGUGGGAAAUGAACUGAGAAGACCAGUAAGAGAAUCCCAAUUCUCAGGCAGAGAGUCAGUUCCCUGAUGCACGUCAACCUCUCUCAGACUCAGUGGCUUCAUCUGCGAAAUGGGUGGAUCACGAGAACCCCAGGAGACUGGC
ensembl:lncRNA